rnacentral:rRNA from 1 species
CAAUAGCGUAUAUUUAAGUUGUUGCAGUUAAAAAGCUCGUAGUUGGAUUUCGGAUGGGACUUGCCGGUCCGUCGUUUCGAUGUGCACUGGCCAGUCCUAUCUUGUUGUCGGGGACUAGCUCCUGGGCUUCACUGUCCGGGACUAGGAGCUGACGAGGUUACUUUGAGUAAAUUAGAGUGUUCAAAGCAAGCCUACGCUCUGAAUACAUUAGCAUGGAAUAACACGAUAGGACUCUGGCUUAUCUUGUUGGUCUGUGAGACCAGAGUAAUGAUUAAGGGGGACAGUCGGGGGCAUUCGUAUUUCAUUGUCAGAGGUGAAAUUCUUGGAUUUAUGAAAGACGAACUUCUGCGAAAGCAUUUGUCAAGGAUGUUUUCAUUAA